rnacentral:rRNA from 1 species
UACGGAGGAUGCAGGCGUUAUCCGGAUUUAUUAGGUUUAAAGGGUGCGUAGGCGGCCCGGUAAGUCAGCGUUGAAAGUCUGCGGCUCAACCGUAGAACUGGCAUUGAUACUGUCGGGCUUGGAUAUGGCGGAAGUAGGCGGAAUGUGCAGUGUAGCGGUGAAAUGCUUAGAUAUUGUACAGAACACCGAUUGCGAAGGCAGCUUACUAUACCAUUAUUGACGCUGAGGCACGAAAGCGCGGGGAU